GGUGAACGCUGGCGGCAGGCCUAACACAUGCAAGUCGAACGGCAGCACAGGGGAGCUUGCUCCCUGGGUGGCGAGUGGCGGACGGGUGAGGAAUACAUCGGAAUCUACCCUGUCGUGGGGGAUAACGUAGGGAAACUUACGCUAAUACCGCAUACGACCUCCGGGUGAAAGCAGGGGAUCGCAAGACCUUGCGCGAUUGGAUGAGCCGAUGUCCGAUUAGCUAGUUGGCGGGGUAAAGGCCCACCAAGGCGACGAUCGGUAGCUGGUCUGAGAGGAUGAUCAGCCACACUGGAACUGAGACACGGUCCAGACUCCUACGGGAGGCAGCAGUGGGGAAUAUUGGACAAAGGGCGAAAGCCUGAUCCAGCCAUGCCGCGUGGGUGAAGAAGGCCUUCGGGUUGUAAAGCCCUUUUGUUGGGAAAGAAAACUUUCCGGUUAAUACCCGGAGAGAAUGACGGUACCCAAAGAAUAAGCACCGGCUAACUUCGUG
rnacentral:rRNA from 1 species